rnacentral:ncRNA from 1 species
UGUCUUCAGGGCAGGGUGAAAUUCCCGAUCGGCGGUAAAGUCCGCGAGCGCAGCAGCGCAGGAACCGGUGCAACUCCGGUACCGACAGUAUAGUCUGGAUGGAAGAAGGCA